ensembl:lncRNA
UUAAAUUUUUUUCAGCUUUUAUGAACUUAAAACAUUUUUUUAUGGAAAACAUCAAGCGUGUACAGAAGAAGACAGAGAGUAUGAGGAACCCCCAUCACCAACAUCACCAACUCCUGGCCAAGCUUGUUCAUUUACAGCACCAGCUGCCUCCCCACCUCCCAUAUAAUUUUGAAGUAAAUCCUAUAUAUUGGAUCAUAUUAUUUCAUCUGUUGGUAUUUCAGUAUGUAGCUCUAAAAAAAAUGGACUCAUUCAACUUAGCCACACUGUCCUUAUUUCACCUAAAAAUUAAUAAUACUCCCUAAAUAUUACCAAGAUUCAGUUGCUGUUCACAUUUCCAGAAUAUAUUUUGAACUCUUUGCCUUUCUACUUACAGAAAAAAAAAAUCAGCCCUGAAACAAGAAUUUCUCAGCAUUUGGUCACAUCCUUAAACUCUAGUUCAAAGACAGAUUUCUGCAUUUGGGCAGAAACGCCCAGUUAUGAAAUCUCUGAGGCCAAUGAGCACUUCUGAAGCUCACUCCGGUAUAGCUCUCCGCUUGGCCAGCGGCUGCACAUAGUGGGGGCGAGGUCACUGCGUGCUGGGUUUCAUGUCAGGAUGAACACAUGCAAGGGUGGGGAUGCAGCGGCGUUGAGCUAAUGCGGGAGGACUGCAGUGCAGCCCCCUGCGUCCUCCCACCCCGGAGGACACCCGGCUGUGAGUGGCUGUCCUUGGCUGUCGGAGCAGCGCUCCACCCGCCAGCUGCCUGGGCCUCCUCUGGGACCCUCUUCUCUCUCUUGCUCAGGAUAUUUGACUGUGUUCCAGUGACUCCGUGGAACCCCACUUUGUGGGGCCUCCAGCCUUCUUCUCGGUCUUGCCAAUUCGCAGCUUAACAUACAGCAACAGUUGACUAGGGAUGCUCACACGUGCCAAGCGCUUUGCUCAUCUGUCCUCACGGCAGCCCCAGGAGAUGGGUAUCGCUGUCAUUGCCAUUUCACAGCAGAGGAGACUAGGGGAGGGCAGGUAAGUCCCUUGCUUGCCUAGGAAGUGGCAGUGCCAGAUUUGAAUGUGGUCAGCCUGAGCAUCAGGCACUCUCCAUUGCAACAUGUUGGUUCCCAAAUGUUAAGACUCAUCUAACAAACUGCUAGGCAGCUUGGCCUAGGACCAGGCACUUACCCUUUUGAGGACAAAUCUUGACAAGUUGGGAUCUGCAGGCACUGUGUACUGUUCCCCGCAACGUUCACAUCUUCCAGAAGAGCUGUAGCAAGACUGAUUGUUAUAUACACCCUUAUUAGGGGAUUAGCUCAGUUGAAUGGAAUAAAUUUUAGGUCAUUCAGCCUCUAAUUUCCUGGUUUGUCUUUUUUCAUAGUUAAAUAAUAGUUUUGAGUCAUAGAUUAUACGACUGUGACAGGUUUGAAGGUUAAGAAGGAUGAGAAGAAACUGGGUUGAGUAUCUAAGGCCACAACCUAGACAUUAUCCCUUCUAUACAUUUUGUCACAUCUCUCAGUUUUUGCUAGAAGAAAAAUAUGACUUUUGGAAUGUACAGAAUCAGGGUCAAGUACUUAAGAAUUCUCAGAAGUAGGGGGCUGGCCCAGUGGCGCAGUGGUUAAGUUCAUACGUUCCGCUUCUCAGCGGCUUGGGGUUCGCCGGUUCGGAUCCUGGGUGUGGACAUGGCACCGCUUGGCACGCCAUGCUGUGGUAGGCGUCCCACGUAUAAAGUAGAGGAAGAUGGGCACAAUGUUAGCUUAGGGCCAGGCUUCCUCAGUAAAAAAUAGGAGGACUGGCAGUAGUUAGCUCAGGGCUAAUCUUCCUCAAAAAAAAAAAAAAAAAAGAAUUCUCAGAAGGAGAAGGGCUGGUAUGGGCACCAUUUUCUUUGUCCCAGUUGAUCAGAGUUCAGCCUGUGUGGCUUCCCCUUGGCUGAACUUUGGAGGAGCAGUUUUAGGCGGCCUGGUGAGGCUCAGACCCCUGUCCCCUGGGAGCCAGCCUCACCUACUGCAGACAGCCGGGGCACGCCAAAGCCAAGCGCUAAGGCAAACACACUUGCAUUUUUACUUCUGUUGCUUCUCAAUUUUGCCUUGGUUUGCUUCACUUUCUUGCAACUCUUGCUGCCCUAGAGAAAUAGAAGAAAGAGUGGGCAGAGGUGGGUAUGAUUAAGUAAGGGAAAUGGAAAAACCAAAGCAGACACAGAGAAGAGAGGCAUUGGCAGACUCUCAGAAGAAAGAGUCCAUAGAAGGCUGAAAAGAGGCCAAGAAGACAGAAGGAGUGGAACCAGCAUCUUCUGUAAGUGCUCAUGGGGUUUAUGGACACAAAGCAUUGAAGGUGAACUUCAAGAAGCUGUUUGCCAACCGUGGCAAUGGGAAAGCUUUGGCUAUCUUUAGCUUCCCUUGGGAAUGCCUGGAAAUUAAUUUAAAUCAUCUGUUUCCGAAAGUUGCAUUUGCUGGGACCCCUCUGGCUUUGCAUAGAGUUGGGUAUGCCAAUCUUCCACGAACCCUUGCUGUUCCAGGAGUGGUGUGUCUGUGGGUUGGGUUAGCCCUGGUCCACAGAAAGGUGGCUAGGUAAGCCUCGCCCUGGAAGAUGCAAAGCUGAUAACACAGCUCCAUCACACCCAAAGCUUCUCCUGCCACAGGGCUCCUCUGGCUCAGAUUCUCCAGUGAGCCCUCCAGAGGGCAUCAUGUUGGAAGCCACCAGACUCAGGGGUGAACUGGAAUGGUUUCCAGCCUUGUCCCAGGAAGAUCAGCCCUCACUCUGCAAAAGACCAACAGUGGGGGUGAAUUGGGAGAACUGUAGGAAAAAAAAGGGCAAGAAGGGAAGCUUGCUUUUCUACAACUGUCCCGGCUCAGUGUUCUGAAAUCUACAAAAAGCAAUAAGACGCAGAGCAUAACUGAGUGUGGUUGGUUGAGGGUCAACAGAGUUGUUUUAAAUUCAUUGCUGCCUCCUUUUCUCUCCUGGGUCUCUCUUUAUUUUUUAUUUUUUCUGGUGUCGUUUGCUUUCACAUUCUUCUCUCUUUUCAGAAUAUUUAUAACUGUCUCCCUCUUCUUUUUUAUUCCCAAUUCCCCUCCCCACCCCAGUCUGCCUCCUUAGCAUAAUUUUUCUUUUCUUUUGGCCUUCUUUGCUUUACAUCUGGAUUCCUGGAUGGUUUAUUUUGUCUGUUUCCUGAAUUUCCCUCCUUCCUAUUUCUUAUAGUUAGGUUUUUCUUUUUUUUCCUUUUCCUUCAGCUUCAGUUCUUUCCCCUCAAGCUUUCCUUGGGCCACACAGGCUUUUAUUCUUGUUCAUUUGUUUAAGCAGUGCUGGCAAGAAGGAGGCCACAGCCGGC